rnacentral:rRNA from 1 species
UACGUAGGGUGCAAGCGUUGUCCGGAAUUAUUGGGCGUAAAGAGCUCGUAGGCGGCUUGUCGCGUCGGCUGUGAAAACCUGGGGCUCAACCCCGGGCCUGCAGCCGAUACGGGCAAGCUAGAAUUCGGUAGGGGAGGCUGGAAUUCCUGGUGUAGCGGUGAAAUGCGCAGAUAUCAGGAAGAACACCGACGGCGAAGGCAGCUCGCUGGGACGGUACUGACGCUGAGGCGCGAAAGCGUGGGGAGCGAACAGG